ensembl:lncRNA
AUUGACGGCAACUGCGUAAAAUAGGCAACCAGAUAUUCGAAUAGUUCGAAUUCGUGAUUUUUUUCCAAACGAACAUUCGAAUGUCAUUUUUGAGCAAUUUUGACAGCCCUAGAGGACACCAGGCCGGGCUGGGACAGGGGGCAUAGAGACCAAGCCCAAAUCCAUCACCCUGGAAUGUGUCAGCUGCUGGAUAUGCUGCCGUGGGUAUAGGAGGACACCAAACCACGCAGGGACAGGGGGCAGAGAGACCAAGCCCAAAUCCAUCACAGGAGGAAGAUUAUGGAUAUUGCCUUUUGUACCCUGGAGCACCUAUCACCAAAGGUCAAAGUCUAGUCCUGCUGAUGUCGUAUGUCCUGAGGCAUAACCUGACCGGGAUUGCUUUAGACCAUCUUCUGCAGAUAUUCAAUGAACAUUUUCCAGGACUGAUGCCAGCAACCUCGUAUCUUUUCCAUAAAUCAUAUGGUCAAUAUGGAGAGUAUGAGCCCCAUUUUUACUGCCAUCACUGUUCUAACUACAUUGAAACAAAGGAAUGUGGUUUGGCACAGUGUCCUCUGUGUCAAUCAGCAUUUGAUGGAAACAUUAGCCUAAAAACGGGUUCAUAUUUUCUGGUUGUCAUUUUAUCCUCGCAGAUAAAAGAGAUUCUAGAAAAUCCGAACAUCCAUAUCUCACGACAUACAUCAACUCCAGGUUUUAUCUGUGAUAUACAGUGUGGAGUUGAGUAUAGGAAGCUCAAAGACAGUGGUGAAAUUGGUGAGGAUGACAUCAGUCUCCUCUGGAACUGUGAUGGGAUCCCUGUAUUUAAAAGCUUGAAGUGUCAAAUAUAUCCCAACAUCCAGACUCUCCUUACUCCAUUUGUUAAAGAACUUGAGGAACUUCAAACUCACAGCAUUACCUGGGCAGAUGGUUGCACUUCAAAGGUGCAUGCCCUUAUAUGUAGUUCCGAUUUUUUUUAUCAGUUGCCAGGCCACUUCUCCGAAACACCAAGCAGUUGAAUGGGAUUUAUGGUUGUGACUUCUGUUAUCAAAGAGGUGGGGGACCUUAUCCAUAUGUUAGUCCUGAGCCACGUCUUCGUACUGAAGCUGAGCAUUUCGACGAUGCCUUGAAUGCAACCCCUAAGCAGCCUGUCAUGGGAGUGAAAGGACCAAGUCAACUUAUUAAAUUGGACAAAUUUCAAAUGAUCCAAGGCUUUGUUCCUGAAUACCAGCACAGAGUAGCUAGCCAGCUGUCUAGCUACUCUGUGCAGCUGUCUAGCACAGAGUAGCUAGACAGCUGGCUACUCUGUGGCUGGAUUCUACUAACCAUGCAAAUGCGUGGUACAUAGGCACCAAAACUGAGUUGAUCGACAAAGAACUUAAGGCAAUCUUGCCACCGACCGAGGUAACAAGAGUACCACGAUCCAUCAAAGAAAGGAAGUUCUGGAAGGCUUCUGAGUGGAGGUCGUUUCUUUUGUUUUAUGCUUUGCCUGUUUUGAACGGGAUCCUGCCCAGAAAAUACUGGAACCACCUUUUCCUUUUGGUUUUUUCCAUGUAUCAUCUCCUGCAAGAAAGGAUCAGAGAGGGUGAUGUGACGAUAGCCGAGCAGGCUUUGAAAAAUUUGUCAGAGAAUUUGAGGGGUUGUAUGGCACAGCCAGUGUGAGGAACUGGGGACCUCUGUGGGCCACAUCGACAUUUUCCUUUGAAUCUUUUCAUAAGAUAAGAUAAGAUAAGAUACAACUUUAUAAAUCCCCCGUAGGAGAAAUUUGUUUGUUGCAGAACAGCCCAGCAGCAAUGGAAGGACACAAGAAAAAAUAACAAUGUAAUAAAUAAAUACAAUAAAUACAAAGUGCUAAUGCAUAAGUAAUGUAAUAAUAAUAGUAAUGGUACCCUGUUGGAACCACUCAUGUCCCUGUUCAAAUAAUGAAAAGGUACCUUAGGGGGAGGAGUCUCGCACAGAAAGGAGUUAGAGUAAUGAAAAAUGCUGAUGAUAAUGUAACAUUUAUUUUCUUUGAACAACAGGGCAGCAAGUGUUCAACUGAGAAAUCAGUUCAAAUCAGUGCCCAUGUCAGAGUUUUUGGAAAAUCAGUACAUACGGGUGUUUCGGUGUUACACAUGCUUGCAAUAGAUGAACUACUUGGUGUCAGGGUAAGACAAGCUUGCUACUACAACCGUUUCAUUGUGAAUGGAAUACUGUAUCACUCUGACACCAACAACCGCCUACAGAAAAGAAACAACUCAGUUGUAGAGUUGCAGAAUGGGUCACUUGUCAGAAUUCUGAGCUUGGUAGUUUCUGGUGCAAUACACUGUGUUUUGGUCAAGGAGCUUCUGAAGUCCGGAAGGAAGCUGUGCAGAGACACAACACUUAAUAUUGCAUCAAGCUUUAUUUUUGAAGUGUCUAAGUCCAACAACAUGUAUGCCAUUCAUCCAGAGUCAUUGACAGGCAAAUGUGUCAUGAUUAAGUCAAGGGAGAAGGUAUGUGUUAUUCCUCUUCCAAACAACAUUGAAUGAGACUGAUUUGACUGGGCAUCAAGGAAGGUCUCAAACUUUCCAGAAAACUUUGAUUUGUUAUUAAAAGGGUUGAAGAUUGGCUGUGAUAAAAAUGUGGUACGAGAUAAUACUUGUAUUGUAAAAUAGAGAUUUGAUUGACGUGUAAAGUACACAGUACCUGUUAUUAAAGAUUGGGAUGUACAAACUUGUUUUAGAAACUGUUCUGAACCUGACAUACUGUGCAUAAAGUGAAAUCCUUCUGUCAAGCAAGUCUUUGUGCAUUAAUGCAUGAUGGUAACAGUCUAUAUAAUUCCCAGUGGGGUAAAUAAAGU